AUUGAACGCUGGCGGCAGGCCUAACACAUGCAAGUCGAGCGGAGCGGCGGACGGGUGAGUAAUUCCUAGGAAUCUGCCUGGUAGUGGGGGAUAACGUCCGGCAACGGGCGCUAAUACCGCAUACUAUCAGAUGAGCCUAGGUCGGAUUAGCUAGUUGGUGGGGUAAAGGCCUACCAAGGCGACGAUCCGUAGCUGGUCUGAGAGGAUGAUCAGUCACACUGGAACGGAGACACGGUCCAGACUCCUACGGGAGGCAGCAGUGGGGAAUAUUGCACAAUGGGCGAAAGCCUGAUGCAGCCAUGCCGCGUGUAUGAAGAAGGCCUUAGGGUUGUAAAGCACUUUAAGUCGGGAGGCGUUACCGACAGAAUAAGCACCGGCUAACUUCGUGCCAGCAGCCGCGGUAAUUC
rnacentral:rRNA from 1 species